AAUGUUUUGUUUUUGAGUGCAUACAAGCAUGAUACCGCCUUUAAUUGUUAAUUGCAUGCUAUAUGAUGUUGCUCAAAUGAACAUGUUUUCCCAAAAGAUUUCCUUCAGUUCAACCACAAUCCUCAAAAGCUUCACUUACAAAAGCUUCACCCACAAAAGCUUCACCUACAAAAGCUUCACCUACAAAGCUUCAACACAAAAGCUUCACCUACAAAAGCUUCACCUACAAAAGCUUCACACACUCUUGAUCAAGACAGUGU
rnacentral:lncRNA from 1 species